UUAUGUAUCUAAAGGGACAAGUGGCGGUCAGGUGACCCGUGGGACUUUGCCCUCGCUCUUAUUUUUCUGUGUCUCGCAAUGAAGUAUUACGGAGCGGUAGUUAAGGUGUCUCGGUGACGGCUGGAUUUUAUCAAGUAUGAAUGGCCAGAAGAGUCUCUGUUAUCGCGUGUGACAAACAAUGUAGGGGAGACUGCACUAUCUUGUCUCAACAUGUCUAUCUAUACAACGUCACUUGGACGUGCUAUUGUUUUUUUACACAAGCGUGAACGUAAUAAAACAAUUCAUCGCAGCUGCGCAAGGCAGGGAGAGAGAUUGUCUCAUGCUAGACGUUUCAAACAUUCAUUAAAGGGGUUGUGAAACCGUUCUUACACUUAUGGAGGAAUAACUUGGCAUUGCCUGGUCCAUCGGGUAGCGACGUGACGUUGUCCACUGCUCAGGUUAAGGAUCCAGUCAUACAGUUUUCGGAGGGCCGUCUUCAUCCAUCAGAGACGAGCCAAAAAAAUCAGAUCGGUGACCAGUUGUGUCACAGACUGCACACAUGCAGUUUCCUCCCACCGCACGAUACCACGAGUGAAUGAAAUCGUCUUCUGCAAGGCGGCUGUUCACAACAAGGAACCCAAGCACCCAUCUACGUGGCUAUGAGGUUUUUGCUGACGCGUUACGUGGAUCUCUAGCGAUUCACCGCAACGUUGUACUGGUUGUAUCGCCGUCACCAGCGGAAAGUGUCUGGUGGUUGCUCGGAGUCGCAGUUAUAUUUGCGUGUUGUCAUUGUGACAACAAGUGGGUUGUGAAGUGCGACUGUGAUAUUUGGAACAUGUCCCAAUUUGUUGCUCGAUUUGUUUGCACGAAUUGUCGUAAAAGACCGGGUGGUCUAAUGUUUUGUUUUACUUUGUUUAUGCUUUGUUUCAACCCGUGUUCUUCGUCAUCAUUACUAUUAUUAUUCAAAUGAACUUUGAGCCUUCAAGAGAUUCUGAUUUACUCUGCAUUGCUUGGUCUACAGACGGAACGGGGUGGCUGUAUUUCCUUCCUUUCCUAAGGACUUGUUGUUUGCCUAAGAAUAUGUUUCACGCACAUAUUCAGGUUUUAUGUGGUAUUCAUUGUCGAGCUCGUCGUAAAUGUGACCAUUUAGCAUUAACACCCACAAUUGCAGUUGAGUUUCUGUAGAAACUCAACUGCAGCGUAUUCUGUAAGAGAAUUCUGCACAUCUAAUACAUAUCUGAUAACUGUUUGUUGUUUAACACAUUUAUUGUUCAACCAGGUUUCCAAUACCGUGCAAUACAUCAAUAACCCCGAGACUGAGGGACACAAUCAAUUCCAUCCACACAGCAGUUCGCCUGCGUCAUUUUCACAUUAUAUUAUUGUGUUACAUAAGCCUGAAUUCACGAGUUGAGGUAACUGAAAAGAAGAAGCCCCUGUAGUGACGUAGUAUGCCCUAUAGUUUGCAAUUACAAAAACGACACGCAAUUGGUACUAUAUCAAAUAAACUGAUUUUUUGUC